rnacentral:rRNA from 1 species
GAUGAACGCUGGCGGCGUGCCUAACACAUGCAAGUCGAACGGAGAUUACGGACGGAAGUUUUCGGAUGGAAGCCUGUAAUUCUUAGUGGCGGACGGGUGAGUAACGCGUGGGCAACCUGCCCUAUACAGGGGGAUAGCAGCUGGAAACGGCUGGUAAGACCGCAUAAGUCGGUUAAAUCGCAUGAUUUGAACGGGAAAUGAGCAAUCAGGUAUAGGAUGGGCCCGCGUCCGAUUAGCCAGUUGGCAGGGUAAAAGCCUACCAAAGCGACGAUCGGUAGCCGGACUGAGAGGUCGGACGGCCACAUUGGGACUGAGACACGGCCCAAACUCCUACGGGAGGCAGCAGUGGGGGAUAUUGCACAAUGGAGGAAACUCUGAUGCAGCGACGCCGCGUGAGUGAAGAAGUAUUUCGGUAUGUAAAGCUCUAUCAGCAGGGAAGAUGAUGACGGUACCUGACUAAGAAGCCCCGGCUAACUACGUG